UGGGGAAUAUUGGACAAUGGGCGAAAGCCUGAUCCAGCCAUGCCGCGUGUGUGAAGAAGGUCUUCGGAUUGUAAAGCACUUUAAGUUGGGAGGAAGGGCAGUAAGCGAAUACCUUGCUGUUUUGACGUUACCGACAGAAUAAGCACCGGCUAACUCUGUGCCAGCAGCCGCGGUAAUACAGAGGGUGCAAGCGUUAAUCGGAAUUACUGGGCGUAAAGCGCGCGUAGGUGGUUCGUUAAGUUGAAUGUGAAAGCCCCGGGCUCAACCUGGGAACUGCAUCCAUAACUGGCGAGCUAGUGUAGGGCAGAGGGUGGUGGAAUUUCCUGUGUAGCGGUGAAAUGCGUAGAUAUAGGAAGGAACACCAGUGGCGAAGGUGACCACCUGGGCUCAUACUGACACUGAGGUGCGAAAGCGUGGGGAGCAAACAGG
rnacentral:rRNA from 1 species